rnacentral:lncRNA from 1 species
AUUCUCCUUCGUGAGGGGACGAAUGGGGUCUGUCCUUCUCACGUUCGGGAAUCUCGUCUUUCCUCCUCUGCCCAGACCGACCCGGGUGCUCGGAACGUCGUCCUGCUGACCGGCUUCUUCUCCGGCUUCGGCCAUCCCUCGAACGACUUCGAUACCUACUUCUCUCCCUUUCAGCCCCUUCCCUUCGGGGUGACCGAGACCGGCUAUGGUGCCUGCGCCUCUUAGAGGACGCCUCUUCCUCACCGAGCGCGUUGGCCAUCUGCAGUUCGAGCUCUUCCUGCUGAAGACGUAGGGUCAUUAUGGCAUCUUUGUUUUGCUGCAUCUUUUUCUGCAGGAUGAAUUCUCUCUGAUCUCGACUACCCUGGCUACGACUCUUUUCCCGCGCCUCCAGCGCUCGCG